rnacentral:rRNA from 1 species
UUCGGUAAAGAGCGGCGGACGGGUGAGUAACGCGUGGGUAACCUACCCUGUACACACGGAUAACAUACCGAAAGGUAUGCUAAUACGGGAUAAUAUAUUUGGGAGGCAUCUCUUGAAUAUCAAAGGUGAGCCAGUACAGGAUGGACCCGCGUCUGAUUAGCUAGUUGGUAAGGUAACGGCUUACCAAGGCGACGA